rnacentral:lncRNA from 1 species
AGCUAUCUGUUGGAAAUAAAAUAUUCUGUGAAACCGGCAACACGGGCUGACGAUGCAAAAGCGGAAUAGUAUAAAAUAUCAUUGUUGGUAGGAGGUCUAUUUGAAGACAGCGCGAGAUAAAAUACCAAAAUCAUUGAAGCUGCUAUUGAGAAUGCUGCUCUCAGUCUUUGGUUUAUCGCGGCAAAUGUGACUUCCUCCCCAACAAACUUCAAUGAUUUUGCGGAAUCAUUUGCAGUAGUAAGAGCACAAUGGACCCGCGGCUUCAGCAAAUAGAAGCAGAAGGCAACCUAUGGCGGAAAUAUUGUGAUGAUGAAGAACGGCGCAUCGAUGAAGAAUAUGAGCGUCGGCUUGCUGAAAUCGAUGCAGAAUUCGAGGAAGCUGCUAGGAAAAUUCGACAGAAAUUCUCCCAAAAGACGGAUGCAGUGAAAAGGCAGUUUUGUGAAGUUAAUUCAUUCACAAAACCUUCCACACAACUCGCCUGUACUUCUGAACAACAAAGCAGUGCACCUAUCCCUCAUCGACGAACAUCAGCACGUCAUUCAAGUUCAAUCGCGGCAUCUGUAGAGGUGCACAUUAACGAUAUAAGAUCGUCACAGGUGGUACAAUCAGCUGUUCCACAAAAUGUGUUAACAGUGUCUAGUGGUCAGAAUAAAGUUUGCCAUCUCGAGAACACGGAUCCUAAAACUGUAAAUAUGCCCAAACUAUACAUGGCAGGAAAGUAUGCAUUUGAAAGGCAGCCAACCAUCCAAUUUCUAUUAUGUGAAAUAAUUAUCAAAUGUGAAGUCUGUGGAACAGUGGCGUUAACAACAGAUAGAGCAACAACAACGAAAACGUACAUCGAGAUCUUCGAUCCCGGGGGAGCGUUUGUUUUUUUCUCUCAGCUCAGUUCGAUAGCUACACGCGUUGCGACGAUUGUUUUUUGCCAUUCUGAGUGAUCAAUCAUAUCGUUCAAUUGUUGUCAUUCCAUGUGAAUGUGGCAAUCAAAUGGUCAGACCUGUUACCUGUUUCACGGGUGGGAGAAUGUUGGAAAUAAAAUAUUCUGUGAAACCGGCAACACGGGCUGACGAUGCAAAAGCGGAAUAGUAUAAAAUAUCAUUGUUGGUAGGAGGUCUAUUUGAAGACAGCGCGAGAUAAAAUACCAAAAUCAUUGAAGCUGCUAUUGAGAAUGCUGCUCUCAGUCUUUGGUUUAUCGCGGCAAAUGUGACUUCCUCCCCAACACUAUCU